rnacentral:snRNA from 1 species
GUGCUCCCUUUGGCAGCACAUGUAAUAAAAUUGGAAUGAUACAGAGAAGAUCCACAUGGGCCCCCGUGCAAGGAUGACACGCAAAUCCGUGAAGAGUUCCACAUUAAA